AUCACCCAGGAAACUUGUUGAAAUGCAGAUUCUGAUUCAGUUAGGUCUGCAUGGGACCUGAGAUUCUGCAUUUACAACAAACUCCAGAGUGAUGAUAA
rnacentral:pre_miRNA from 1 species